rfam:Biomphalaria glabrata isolate BB02 unplaced genomic scaffold LGTN_random_Scaffold278, whole genome shotgun sequence.
UCACUCUGGCUCCUCUGCACAACGUUCAAAUCCUUCGCCUUUUACUAGGGAUUUCCGUGCAGAGGAGCAUUGUAAUGAGUCUAAAUCUCAAAUUUUUCCAGCCCUACUUUGUAGGGU